rnacentral:rRNA from 1 species
AUUCCUACGGGAGGCAGCAGUAAGGAAUAUUGGUCAAUGGGCGCAAGCCUGAACCAGCCAUGCCGCGUGAAGGAUGACGGCCCUACGGGUUGUAAACUUCUUUUGUACGGGAAAAAACCACCGGUCGUGAACCGGUGCUGAUGGUACCGUAAGAAUAAGGAUCGGCUAACUCCGUGCCAGCAGCCGCGGUAAUACGGAGGAUCCAAGCGUUAUCCGGAUUCAUUGGGUUUAAAGGGUGCGCAGGCGGAAUGAUAAGUCAGUGGUGAAAUCUCUCGGCUCAACUGAGAAACUGCCAUUGAUACUGUCGUUCUUGAGUACACUUGGAGUGGGCGGAAUGUGUCAUGUAGCGGUGAAAUGCUUAGAUAUGACACAGAACACCGAUCGCGAAGGCAGCUCACUAAGUUGUAACUGACGCUCAGGCACGAAAGCGUGGGGAUCAAACAGGAUUAGAUACCCUGGUAGUCCACGCCGUAAACGAUGAUCACUCGAUGUUGGCGAUAUACUGUCAGCGUCUAAGCGAAAGCAUUAAGUGAUCCACCUGGGGAGUACGAUCGCAAGAUUGAAACUCAAAGGAAUUGACGGGGGCCCGCACAAGCGGAGGAGCAUGUGGUUUAAUUCGAUGAUACGCGAGGAACCUUACCUGGGCUAGAACGCUGGGCGACCGUCCGGGAAACCGGAUUUCUCUUCGGAGCGGCCAGCGAGGUGCUGCAUGGUUGUCGUCAGCUCGUGCCGUGAGGUGUCGGGUUAAGUCCCAUAACGAGCGCAACCCCUAUCAUUAGUUGCCAUCAGGUCAUGCUGGGAACUCUAGUGAAACUGCCUACGCAAGUAGUGAGGAAGGUGGGGAUGACGUCAAAUCAGCACGGCCCUUACGUCCAGGGCUACACACGUGCUACAAUGGUCGGUACAAAGGGCAGCUACCUGGUGACAGGAUGCAAAUCUCUAAAACCGAUCUCAGUUCGGAUCGAAGUCUGCAACUCGACUUCGUGAAGUUGGAUUCGCUAGUAAUCGUAUAUCAGCAAUGAUACGGUGAAUACGUUCCCGGGCCUUGUACACACCGCCAUCCAUAUGACUAG